ensembl:lncRNA LOC108352947 uncharacterized LOC108352947
GCAGAAUUCCAGGUCUUGGCAUCUGUGUUUCAAGCAGGAGGGAGAAGGAAAAGGGUUAGGGUUGGUGGGUAGGCUCAGUGCGUAGGUAGGAUGCUUGCCUCAGACACACAAGGCCCCCAACACAACCCAAGCUGGCAGUGGUGAGAUAUAAAUGCCACUUGGUGUCAUGGUUAGUUUUUGUCAACUUGACACAAACCUAGACACACCAGGGAAGAAGAACUCUCAACUGAGGAAGAACCUUCAUUGGAUUGGCCAUUGGUAUCCCUACUCUAUUCUGCCAGGUAGUGGAAAUGUAAUCUCAGUCAUCAAAACAAUACAAAGCCAACCGACCGACCGACCACCAACCAACCAAUCAACCAACCAACCAAUCAACCAAUUGAAAAACAGCAGUGCUAUGUAAAGUGCAUGUAGGUGCCUUUGAAGGCCAGAAGAAGACGUCGGAUUCUGAGGAGCUGGAGUUACAGAUGGAUGUUAGCUGCCUCACAGAGAUGCUGGGAACCGAACUCAGGUGCUUUGUAACUUGGCCAGUGAGUGGCAAGGGCACCCUUAGUGCCUUCCAUAGGAUUUGUACAGCAAGGACCUGUGGUACUUCCCCUCCGACACAGACAACAGAAGCCACAGUGAGACACAGACAACAGAAGCCACAGUGAGACACAGACAACAGAAGCCACAGUGAGACAUCAGCUGCACUGGACACAACUGGAGUCUGCUUCUCCCAGAGGAGGGGAUUUUCUAAGAUGCCAGAUCCCCUUACCUCCUGUGGAAUGCACAAUCAGUGUUAACAAUGGCAAUUAGACUCUGUGCCAUCUGGAUGGCCUGGGCAAGCGGAGCUGCACAGUGGCUGGCAGAAGGCAGAAGUUGAGCCAGGAUCAUAGAGGCAGCUUCUUUCUGUGGAGCUGGACCAUGACCAUUACAACCAGGAACAACUGCUGCUCAGUUCAUUGACUCAAGAACCACCCGAGUGUCAUGAUGGGAGUCCUUAAGAAAAGAGUCUUCUCUCUUAAUGGGUCCAACUUCAUAGGUCCUGAUGGUCACAGGCCUGGCUCUCCAUUCAGAACAGCUCCUGCCUACAGGUUCCUGCCCUGCUUGAGUUCCUGUCCUGACUUCCUUCAGUGAUGAACAAUGCUGUAGAAGUGUAAGCAAAACAAACCCUUUCCUCCUCAACUUGCUUUUUUGGUCAUGGUGUUCCACUGCAGCAGUAGAUACCCUAACUAAGAUGGGGGAGGGGAGGAAGGUGUUCUAACUAAGCACCAGAGUGGGGGUUGAAGUGAAACUAGGUGCUUUCGUAUGAUUUUUUUUUAGGAGAGUUUGGGAAGAGACAAACCCAUCAGUGGUAACUUGGUGGCUUGGUGACUUAGCCACUUGGUGUUAAGCUGUUGUUCCCCUUCAUUCACUUGGCUAUUUCCCCCUGCUCCACACUGGGUGUCCUUAGGAUGGCAGAGGCCAUCAGAUUGCUUUCCCAAAGUCCUCCAGUACUCCUGCUUUGCCAGGGACUGUCCUGGCUAGCACAUGCC